ensembl:lncRNA
AGAGAGAGAAGGAAAGAGAGAGAAGGAAAGAGAGAGAGAGAGACAGAGAAGGAAAGAGAGAGAAGGAAAGAGAGAGAGAGAAGGAAAGAGAGAGAAGGAAAGAGAGAGAAAGAAGGAAAGAGAGAGAGAGAGAAGGAAAGAGAGAGAGAGGAGAGAGAAAGAGAGAAGGAAAGAGAGAGAAGGAAAGAGAGAGAGAGAAGGAAAGAGAGAGAGAGAAGGAAAGAGAGAAGGAAAGAGAGAAGGAAAGAGAGAAGGAAAGAGAGAGAAGGAAAGAGAGAGAAGGAAAGAGAGAGAGAGAAGGAAAGAGAGAGAGAGAGAGAGAGAAGGACGUCCUGCAUGG